UAAAAAUGUAUUAAAAAAUUAAGGUAGUAAUAGUUAUGUUCUUGAAAUUUAAAAAAUUUGGCGGUAUUUUAGUCUAUUCAGAGGAACCUGUUUUAUAAUCGAUAAUCCACGAUGGACCUUACUUAAUUUUGUUUUCAGUUUAUAUACCGUCGUUAUUAGAAUAUUUUAUAAGAAUGUUAAUUUUCAUAAUUUUAAAAAAGAAAGUAUAUCAGAUCAAGGUGUAGCUAAUAAUUAAGUAAAAAUGGGUUACAAUAAAAUUAUUUAAAUGAAUAUAAAUUUGAAAUAUUUAUUGAAAGUGGAUUUGAUAGUAAAAUUAUAAAGAUUAUUAAUUUGAUUUUAGCUCUAAAAUAUGU
rnacentral:rRNA from 1 species